UCUUUCUGUUUGCAGCAAACAGCAGGUGGACUAGUGCAUCUAAGUUCCUUACACGAAAAAAGAAAAGAUAAAAGCUCAUUCAGAAUUGUGUGCAUUUCUUUUCUAUUUCCCAGAAUAAACAGUGUAAAUCUGUGUCAAACACCAGAUGUCCAUCACAUUACAGCAUGGUGGCCUAAUUCCAAAUAUCUGAAUGUUGCAUGGACGCUUGAUGUAGAAGUUGUAUACACUAUCACUGUUACAGAAAAUGGAAACUAUUUGCUCAAGUCUCAUGCGUGUCAAGCUCUGUGGUUUAUACUAAACGUAGAUUUUAUAGCCUGUUGUGUACACUGUGCGUUUCCUGUGCCAAGGAUCCACAAGACAGAAAACCUGAACCCUGUGAAGUUCCCUUUCCUCAGACCUCAGUAUAGCAUCAUCAUCAGUGGUUUCCAUGACAGUGCAAGCUUCCAGCUCUCUAAUAUGUGGUUCAACUAUGGUGUGACUCAAGUGGCGAUUCAGUAGGUGGUAAGCUUCCUUCUGUCAAUAUUGAAUUAUGCCCCCCUAUCUAAGUGCACAGCACUUUAAAAUACCGUCUUUCCAAUGUGAUACAAGAGCAACAUGGGGACUGGUUACUAAAGAUCCCGCAGCAGUUAAUUUUUUGCAUGGGUGGAAAUAUUAACUCUUGAGCAUCAGCCAGGUUUCAGUUUGGAGAAAUAUGUUCUGCUUAAGCUUUCCUUUCCUGUCCUUAUGCUGGCUUGUAAUCUUACUCUUCCUGAUGGCUUCUUUCCACAUGACACAAGGCUGAGUGCUCCAGUGUGGGAGAUGAUUUCUCUGGAUCCAGACAGCUGGGGAUAGUGCUGGUAUCCUGAGUUAAACAGUAAGAAAGCAUUUCAGGACUGAAGUUAAUCCUGAUCAUUAGAAGUGUUCACUCAGUCUUUGGUCAAUCACCUAGAAAUGUUCGAGUCUUGGACUCUCACAUGAUAGCUGUUGGCAAAAGAGCACUCAAACAAAAGCAUAGGACAAAUGCAGGUUUACCAUGUAGCUCCUUAUCACAAUACAGGCCACUUGGAAAUGUCAGAUAAUCCUAAAAAAGUCACCUUACUAAUAAGAGCUGUGUGCUUCAAGAAGCACUUAAAUCCAGUUCUCAUGAGUUUCUUCUGGUUAUGGAACUAGUAGAGAUGACAUUAUUGUUCUGUAUUUUUGGUAAAAUAUUAAGAGUUGAUUCUGAUAUUCACAAAAGCCCUCCACACUUCAGAUGUGUGCUAGUUAAGAAGUGAUGCUCAUGGUAAUUAAAAUGAGCAAUGCUUAUCCUCAGCUGGCAUUCCACUGUAGCAGAGCAGUUAGCUUCCACACUUUCAUGCCAAGAAUAUGUGAGUGUGCUUGUCUCUGUGUAUAAACUCUUUCUUUGGCUCAUUUGUGCAGCUUCAUAGAUACUUUUUCUUCCCUGGUUGAUGCUUUCAUGUUUUCGUAUGAGUUAUCUCUCUAUACAUGGACACAGCCUCUGCUCUCUGCUAUUGCUUGAGAAAGAACUGCAGGACUCACUCUGUGACUUGCAAAACUAUGUCUAGAAUAUAAACAGAUGAUUCACGAUUUACUUGUUGCAUGUGGCAGUCAUGUAAGGAGUUAUCAGUCUGAUGAAAUAGCAAAGAUAUAAUUUGAUUUUGGGAAGCACCAGAAUAUAUGACAGAAUAUAACCUUGCUGUAGGAAUGUAGAAAAAAAAAUUGUGUAUCAGUCCCGGCAGAUUCAGCACUCUGGCUCUCUCAUCAGACAGUACUAUUUUUCAUUUGUACACAUGAAGACAGCUGUAUGACAAGGAAAAGAGAAUAUCAUCAAAUAGUUGCUUUAUCGUAUAAUUGUGAUAAGCUAUGGCUACAUCCGAAAAAGACUCUGUAAAAUAAAGCUUGUUUACAAAGUCA
ensembl:lncRNA